rnacentral:rRNA from 1 species
AAAACCGAUCGUAGUCCGGAUCGCAGUCUGCAACUCGACUGCGUGAAGUCGGAAUCGCUAGUAAUCGCGAAUCAGAAUGUCGCGGUGAAUACGUUCCCGGGCCUUGUACACACCGCCCGUCACACCAUGGGAGUGGGUUGCACCAGAAGUAGCUAGUCUAACCUUCGGGGGGACGGUUACCACGGUGUGAUUCAUGACUGGGGUGAAGUCGUAACAAGGUAGCCGUAGGGGAACCUGCGGCUGGAUCACC